rnacentral:rRNA from 1 species
AGUUUGAUCCUGGCUCAGGAUGAACGCUAGCUACAGGCUUAACACAUGCAAGUCGAGGGGCAGCAUUGGAGUAGCAAUACUUCAGAUGGCGACCGGCGCACGGGUGAGUAACACGUAUCCAACCUGCCGCUUACUCGGGGAUAGCCUUUCGAAAGAAAGAUUAAUACCCGAUGGUAUAAAGAGUUCGCAUGUUCUCUUUAUUAAAGAAUUUCGGUAAGCGAUGGGGAUGCGUUCCAUUAGAUUGUUGGCGGGGUAACGGCCCACCAAGUCUACGAUGGAUAGGGGUUCUGAGAGGAAGGUCCCCCACAUUGGAACUGAGACACGGUCCAAACUCCUACGGGAGGCAGCAGUGAGGAAUAUUGGUCAAUGGACGAGAGUCUGAACCAGCCAAGUAGCGUGAAGGAUGACUGCCCUAUGGGUUGUAAACUUCUUUUAUAAGGGAAUAAAGUGAGGGACGUGUCCCUUUUUGUAUGUACCUUAUGAAUAAGGAUCGGCUAACUCCGUGCCAGCAGCCGCGGUAAUACGGAGGAUCCAAGCGUUAUCCGGAUUUAUUGGGUUUAAAGGGAGCGUAGGUUGACAUAUAAGUCAGCUGUGAAAGUUUACGGCUCAACCGUGAAAUUGCAGUUGAUACUGUAUGUCUUGAGUGUACAAGAGGUGGGCGGAAUUCGUGGUGUAGCGGUGAAAUGCUUAGAUAUCACGAAGAACUCCAAUUGCGAAGGCAGCUCACUGGGGUACAACUGACACUGAGGCUCGAAAGUGUGGGUAUCAAACAGGAUUAGAUACCCUGGUAGUCCACACAGCAAACGAUGAAUACUCGCUGUUUGCGAUAUACAGUAAGCGGCCAAGCGAAAGCAUUAAGUAUUCCACCUGGGGAGUACGCCGGCAACGGUGAAACUCAAAGGAAUUGACGGGGGCCCGCACAAGCGGAGGAACAUGUGGUUUAAUUCGAUGAUACGCGAGGAACCUUACCCGGGCUUGAAUUGCGGAGGAACAUAGUUGAAAGAUUAUGGCCGCAAGGUCUCUGUGAAGGUGCUGCAUGGUUGUCGUCAGCUCGUGCCGUGAGGUGUCGGCUUAAGUGCCAUAACGAGCGCAACCCUUAUCAUUAGUUACUAACAGGUCAUGCUGAGGACUCUAGUGAGACUGCCGUCGUAAGAUGUGAGGAAGGUGG